GUAGGUGGCAAGCGUUGUCCGGAAUUAUUGGGGCGUAAAGCGCGCGCAGGCGGUUCUUUAAGUCUGAUGUGAAAGCCCACGGGCUCAAACCGUGGGAGGGGUCAUUGGAAACUGGAGAACUUGAGUACAGAAGAGGAAAGCGGAAUUCCACGUGUAGCGGUGGAAUGCGUAGAGAUGUGGAGGAACACCAGUGGCGAAGGCGGCUUUCUGGUCUGUAACUGACGCUGAGGCGCGAAAGCGUGAGGAGCAAACAGGAUUAGAUACCCUGGUAGUCCACGCCGUAAACGAUGAGUGCUAAGUGUUAGGGGGUUUCCGCCCCUUAGUGCUGCAGCUAACGCAUCAAGCACUCCGCCUGGAGAGUACGGCCGCAAAGGCUG
rnacentral:rRNA from 1 species